AAGCUGUAUUUUCUAUUAUCAUGACUCAAGUUUAUUACUAGAGAAGUUUCUCUGGACAUGUGGAGCACCAGAAACCACUAGGAGUGGGUGCGGCAUUCUCUCCUGAGCAUGGUGUUGGCUCUUGGUGUGGCUUCACAGCAGCUGUUCUUUGCCAUUGAUGGUUGUUCUUUUCUUCUUUUGGGAGAGGGAGAGGAAGAGAGAGAGGAUGCAGUCUGACUGGC
rnacentral:snoRNA from 1 species